rnacentral:rRNA from 1 species
UACGUAGGGUGCGAGCGUUGUCCGGAAUUAUUGGGCGUAAAGAGCUUGUAGGCGGUUUGUCGCGUCUGCCGUGAAAAUCCGGGGCUCAACCCCGGACUUGCGGUGGGUACGGGCAGACUAGAGUGUGGUAGGGGAGACUGGAAUUCCUGGUGUAGCGGUGAAAUGCGCAGAUAUCGGGAGGAACACCGGUGGCGAAGGCGGUUCUCUGGGCCUGUACUGACGCUGAGGAGCGAAAGCGUGGGGAGCGAACAGG